ACGCUCGACACCUACGGGAGGCAGCAGUGGGGAAUAUUGCACAAUGGGGGAAACCCUGAUGCAGCGACGCCGCGUGACUGAAGAAGUAUUUCGGUAUGUAAAGGUCUAUCAGCAAGGAAGAAGAAAGACGGUACUUGACUAAGAAGCCCCGGCUAACUACGUGCCAACAGCCGCGGUAAUCUGAGCGGGCUGGCAAGGC
rnacentral:rRNA from 1 species